GAACUGCGAUAAGUAAUGUGAAUUGCAGAAUUCAGUGAAUCAUCGAGUCUUUGAACGCACAUUGCGCCCCCUGGCAUUCCGGGGGGCAUGCCUGUCCGAGCGUCAUUGCUGCCCUUCAAGCCCGGCUUGUGUGUUGGGUCGUCGUCCCCUCCGGGGGACGGGCCCGAAAGGCAGCGGCGGCACCGCGUCCGGUCCUCGAGCGUAUGGGGCUUUGUCACCCGCUCGACAAGGACCGGCCGGGCGCCAGCCGGCGUCUCCAACCUUUUUUUCUCAGGUUGACCUCGGAUCAGGUAGGGAUACCCGCUGAACUUAAGC
rnacentral:misc_RNA from 1 species